GAUGAACGCUGGCGGCGUGCUUAACACAUGCAAGUCGAACGGAAAGGCCCUGCUUUUGUGGGGUGCUCGAGUGGCGAACGGGUGAGUAACACGUGAGUAACCUGCCCUUGACUUUGGGAUAACUUCAGGAAACUGGGGCUAAUACCGGAUAGGAGCUCCUGCUGCAUGGUGGGGGUUGGAAAGUUUCGGCGGUUGGGGAUGGACUCGCGGCUUAUCAGCUUGUUGGUGGGGUAGUGGCUUACCAAGGCUUUGACGGGUAGCCGGCCUGAGGGGGUGACCGGCCACAUUGGGACUGAGAUACGGCCCAGACUCCUACGGGAGGCAGCAGUGGAGAAUAUUGCACAAUGGGCGGAAGCCUGAUGCAGCAACGCCGCGUGCGGGAUGACGGCCUUCGGGUUGUAAACCGCUUUCGCCUGUGACGAAGCGUGAGUGACGGUAAUGGGUAAAGAAGCACCGGCUAACUACGUG
rnacentral:rRNA from 1 species